UAAACUAAACUCACACCCAACCGCCUCAUCAUCAUCCUCUCCACUCUCUCUCCAUCGUUCUCCCUUUCAUCUUCCUCAUGGUUCUUCGCAGACUUAACACCACCAUCGGCCACCAACCGACCACUAUACCCUGGUGACCUCCCUUAUUUUAACAGCCGCAAGACUUGACCAGCUUAAUGAUCCUAAGGCUCAGACGAUUUCCACCACUACUCUCGGUUCACUCACACUCGGCGGCGACCCAGACAAAUAAUGCUUACCCGAGAACAAGAUUCAUAAGAAAAUAAGUAAGAAAAACUCUCUUUUAAUUACCCAUAUUCAUAUUGUAAACACAAAAAACACUAAGAAAUAUUAAGCAGUUGGUACCUAAAUUUGAAUUGCUUCCUCCUGAAAAGAAAAUGGAAUCCCUUUUUACAAAUGUCUUUGGGGUUUAAUACUCGAUUACAACAAUUUCAUUCGUAUCAAUUUUUCAAGGCUCAUCCCCCUGUUUUACAUUGAUUUUUUUUUUGCUAAUCGAUGCUCUCUCCUCUUACACUGCUUUUGGGUGGUUAAAUACCCAUUACAAAGGAAAUAAAGACAAACAAUAGUGGAGCAUGGGUGAGGCACAUGUUUCUGCAGGAAUCAAGGGAUUGUGGGGGUUGGUGUUGAGAAAAAUGUGAUGGAACAGGAACAGAAACCCGGUGGUUUCUAUAUUGCUUUCGAUGUUUUCUUUCAGAUUCAAGCUCUUUUUUAAGAACUCCAAUCUAGCAAAGCAUAUAUGUUGGUUCAUGGGAACAAGUUCAGAGUUCAAAAAGUAUUAUCGAAAGGAACCAGACUGCAACAACCAUAAAUACUAUUAUCUGUACAAGUUUUGAGUAUCUACAUCAAAAGAUAUUUAUCUACAAAAUACUGGGAAACAGAAAUUGUUGCUCACUUGAGUA